AUUGAACGCUGGCGGCAUGCCUUACACAUGCAAGUCGAACGGCAGCGCGGACUUCGGUCUGGCGGCGAGUGGCGAACGGGUGAGUAAUACAUCGGAACGUACCCUGUUGUGGGGGAAAACUGGUGGAAAGAUAAGCUAAUACCGAAUAGGACUGGAGGGUGAAGGGGGGGGCCGGCAAGGCACACGGAAGAAGGAGGGGCGGAUGUCUGAUUAGCUAGUUGGUGGGGUAAAGGCCCACCAAGGCGACGAUCAGUAGCUGGUCUGAGAGGACGAUCAGCCACACUGGGACUGAGACUCGGCCCAGACUCCUACGGGAGGCAGCAGUGGGGAAUUUUGGACAAUGGGGGCAACCCUGAUCCAGCAAUGCCGCGUGUGUGAAGAAGGCCUUCGGGUUGUAAAGCACUUUUGUCCGGAAAGAAAUCGCGCUGGUUAAUACCUGGCGUGGAUGACGGUACCGGAAGAAUAAGCACCGGCUAACUACGUGCCAGCAGCCGCCGUAA
rnacentral:rRNA from 1 species